rnacentral:rRNA from 1 species
AUUGAACGCUGGCGGCAGGCUUAACACAUGCAAGUCGAACGAGUGGCGGACGGGUGAGUAAUGCUUGGGAAUCUAGCUUAUGGAGGGGGAUAACUACGGGAAACUGUAGCUAAUACCGCGUACCAUAGGAUGAGCCCAAGUGGGAUUAGGUAGUUGGUGGGUUACAGGCUCACCAAGCCGACGAUCUCUAGCUGGUCUGAGAGGAUGACCCUCCCCACUGGGACUAGGACAGGGCCCAGACUCCUCCGGGAGGCAGCAGUGGGGAAUAUUGCGAAAUGGGGGCAACCUGACGCAGCCAUGCCGCGUGGAUGAAGAAGGCCUUCGGGUUGUAAAGUUCUUUCGGUAGCGAGGCGUUAACUACAGAAGAAGCACCGGCUAACUCCGUGCCAGCAGCCGCGGUAAUAC